CCAAAAGCUGGCGACCGGCGCACGGGUGAGUAACACGUAUCCAACCUGCCUCAUACUCGGGGAUAGCCUUUCGAAAGAAAGAUUAAUAUCCGAUAGCAUAUAUUUCCCGCAUGGGUUUUAUAUUAAAGAAAUUCGGUAUGAGAUGGGGAUGCGUUCCAUUAGUUUGUUGGGGGGUAACGGCCCACCAAGACUACGAUGGAUAGGGGUUCUGAGAGGAAGGUCCCCCACAUUGGAACUGAGACACAGUCCAA
rnacentral:rRNA from 1 species